rnacentral:rRNA from 1 species
GAAGCUUUCUGGUAGUUUACUACUAGAAAUGACUGAGCGGCGAACGGGUGAGUAACGCGUGAGCAAUCUACCUUAGUUACUGGGAUAGCUCGAGGAAACUCGGAUUAAUACCAGAUAUUCUUAUUUUUUCACAUGAAGUUUUAAGGAAAGGUCAGCCGAACUAAGAUGAGCUCGCGUUCUAUCAGCUAGUUGGUGGGGUAAAAGCCUACCAAGGCAACGACGGAUAGCUGGUCUGAGAGGACGAUCAGCCACACUGGGACUGAGACACGGCCCAGACUCCUACGGGAGGCUGCAGCAGGGAAUAUUGUGCAAUGAGCGAAAGCUUGACACAGCGACACCGCGUGUGGGAUGACGGUUCUAGGAUUGUAAACCACUUUCAGGAGGGAAGAAAAUGACGGUACCUCCACAAGAAGACCCGGCCAACUAUGUGCCAGCAGCCGCGGUAAUACAUAGGGGUCAAGCGUUGUCCGGAUUUAUUGGGCGUAAAGAGCUCGUAGGCGGUUCAACAAGUCGGUCGUAAAAGUUUAGGGCUCAACCCUAAAAUGUCGAUCGAUACUGUUGUGACUAGGAUACGGUAGAGGUGAAUGGAAUUCCGAGUGUAGCGGUGAAAUGCGUAGAUAUUCGGAGGAACACCAAUUGCGAAGGCAGUUCACUGGACCGUGAUCGACGCUGAGGAGCGAAAGCUAGGGGAGCAAACAGGAUUAGAUACCCUGGUAGUCCUAGCUGUAAACGAUGGAUACUAGAUGUAGGAACUGGAUUGACGGUUUCUGUAUCGUAGCUAACGC